GAUGAAGAACGUAGCGAAAUGCGAUAAGUAAUGUGAAUUCCAGAAUUCAGUGAAUCAUCGAAUCUUUGAACGCACAUUGCGCCCGCCAGUAUUCUGGCGGGCAUGCCUGUUCGAGCGUCAUUUCAACCAUCAAGCCCCCGGCUUGUGUUGGGGACCCGCGGCUGCCGCAGGCCCUGAAAAGCAGUGGCGGGCUCGCUGUCACACCGAGCGUAGUAGCAUACAUCUCGCUCUGGGCGUGCUGCGGGUUCCGGCCGUUAAACCACCUUCAUAACCCAAGGUUGACCUCGGAUCAGGUAGGAAGACCCGCUGAACUUAAGCAUAUCAAUAAGCGGAGGA
rnacentral:misc_RNA from 1 species